AUUCAGCUGAGGUGUCCUAAACAGGACGAACUGCGCGUUCUGGAU
rnacentral:hammerhead_ribozyme from 1 species